AUGAUGGACAAACUCUCUCUUCUGCUCACAGCUCUCUGUCUGCCAUGCUUGAAUGGCCAGGCUCUGGAGUCCAUUCCCUCCAGUCCAGUGCUGAAAAAGCCUGGGGAAACUCUCAGUCUUUCCUGCAGGGGAGCUGGCUUCACUUUCAGCUGCUGUGGCAUCAACUGGAUAAGAAAACCUGCAGGAAAAGGACUGGAAUGGAUGGGAUAUGUUUCCAGCAGUGGGAGCAGCACAGGUUAUGCUAGUAGUCUGCAAGGACGUGUUGAGAUGACGAGAGACAACAGCAACAACAUGGCUUAUCUGAGACUGUCUGGUCUAAAGCCAGAAGACUCUGCUGUGUAUCACUGUGCCAGAUACACACUGUGGUCUCAGUGA